UCCCCAGCCGUCAAUGCUUUUCGAUGUCGCAAAACUCCCUCUUUAAAUUCCUCGAGACCAUCCUCAUCUGUCCCAGAACUGUUUCUCUGGUCUCUGAUUCUCUGCUUCUCUGCUUCUCCUUCUCUCCUUCUCUCUGUCCAUGCAUCUUCUGUAAAUGUUAGUUAGUUGUGUGGUGGGCUUUAUCUCUUCCAAGUAGCAUGACCAGUAGAGGAGGUGAAUGAAUAAGCCUCCUUCGCUUAGCUUUAGUUUUUGGUGUUGAUGAAUUUGGGAAUCAAGAUAGAGUUGCUUCGUAAUCUUGUGUGAUUUUGGUUCUCCAACGAUCAAGAUGGGAAUUGCUUCAAAAUCUUAUGUUAGGAAUUGUAAUGAAAGGGGUUUGGAUGGUGUCGGGAAAUUUAGCUUUGUUUAUAAAAAGUUGAUAUCCGGAUAGGCUAUUUCUGCUCUUCUUGAGACUAAAAGAUACGUGUGGAACAGUUGUUCGAAAGAGAUUUCUUUUUGACUAAAAGAUAGAUGUGGAGCAGUUGCUAGAGAGAGUUUUCCUUUUUUGCAGGAAGAAGUAUAGAUUUUAUUUGAGUGCAACUUGUUUUCUUGACGGCUAAGCCAAGCUUUAUGAAGCUAUGACUCCUAUCCCAGUGUUAUAAUGUUAGUAGUGAAACCGAAUCCAACCAGAGAUACCUGAAUUGAAUCAAAUUAAUCCUUAUUGAGUUGGUAUCAGUCAGCCAGCUGGAAA